GGGGGCGACAUGGCUUCGACGUGGGUAGCAAAACCUUAAGCGCAUGUCGAGGACUGUACACCUCGUAAAUCCUACAGAAACUAAGUAUUCGCAAACGACGAAAACUACUCAAUGGCUUUAGCUGCUUAAACACAGCACCAUUCCUUUGACCAUCUGUGCUUAUGCGGGUGGAGACUAGUUCGCUAGUCGCUCAGAGGUCAUUUACAUAAGAUCGCGCUGAAAUCCGUCCGGUGUGGAUGCGCUAAAACCCUACGGAAUCGCUGGUGGUUUUCUUGGCUCGACGGGUAAUCACUGGCUAAAUUAAAGUGCGAGAUAAACAUGUAGACCUUAUGGCGGAGUACUUGCGGACGCGGGUUCAAUUCCCGCCGCCUCCACCA
rnacentral:tmRNA from 1 species